rnacentral:sRNA from 1 species
AUGCAUCACGCGCGCACUCCGGUGUCGAGUGCGCCGUCCACACCACCUGACGACCGCUCGCUACGGCUUGUCCAGCC